ensembl:misc_RNA Metazoa_SRP Metazoan signal recognition particle RNA
GCUGGGCACGGUGGCACAUGCCUGUAGUCCUAGCUACUCAGGAGGCUGAGGCAAGAGGAUCACUUGUGUGCUAUGUUGACUGGUUAAUGCACUAAGUUUGGCAUCAAUAUGGUGACCUUCAGGCAGUAGGGAACCACGAGGCUGCCUAAGGAGGGGUGACUGUCCCAGACGGGAAAUGGAGUUGAUCAGAAUUCCUGUGCUGAUCAGUAGUGAGACCGUGCCUGUGAAGAGCCGCAGCACUCUAGCCUG